UGAGGAAUAUUGGUCAAUGGUCGGGAGACUGAACCAGCCAAGCCGCGUGAGGGAUGAAGGUGCUAAGCAUUGUAAACCUCUUUUGUCAGGGAACAAAGGCAUCCACGAGUGGGUGUGUGAGUGUACCUGAAGAAAAAGCAUCGGCUAACUCCGUGCCAGCAGCCGCGGUAAUACGGAGGAUGCGAGCGUUAUCCGGAUUUAUUGGGUUUAAAGGGUGCGUAGGCGGCCUGUUAAGUCAGCGGUAAAAGCCCGGGGCUCAACCCGGCGAGCGUUGAAACAUGGCUGGCUGGAGUUGGCGAGAGGUAUGCGGAAUGCGCGGUGUAGCGGUGAAAUGCUUAGAUAUCGCGCAGAACUCCGAUUGCGAAGGCAGCAUGCCGGCGCCACACUGACGCUGAGGCACGAAAGCGUGGGGAUGCAAACAAGGAUAGAUACC
rnacentral:rRNA from 1 species